rnacentral:miRNA from 1 species
AUACACACACACAUACACACUA